AAAGGUAAUUUAGGUAAUAAAAUAAGGCUGCUAACCUUAUUUUGAGCAUCUCGAAACUGUUCUACCUUUU
rnacentral:tRNA from 1 species